rnacentral:piRNA from 1 species
UAGCACAGAGACAAGAGUACCUGUCCG